GGUCGACCCGCUGAAUUUAAGCAUAUCAAUAAGCGGAGGAAAAGAAACUAACAAGGAUUCCCUUAGUAGCGGCGAGCGAAGAGGGAUUAGCCCAAAACCGAAUCCUGUAGCUCAAGCUACUAGGAAAUGUGGUUUAUGGUUCUUUACCUACGGUACAUUGGAGUUGCUUUAAGUCCACGUGAUUGUGGCUUCAAGCCCAGAGAGGGUGUAAGGCCCGUACAAGUAGCACGAUGUAUCCUGGUGAAGUACCUCGAGUCGGGUUGUUUGGGAAUGCAGCCCAAAUCGGGUGGUAAACUCCAUCCAAGGCUAAAUACAACACGAGUCCGAUAGUGAACAAGUACCAUGAGGGAAAGUUGAAAAGAACUUUGAAGAGAGAGUUCAAUAGUGCGUGAAACCGCUCAAGGAGAAACGGACAGAACUGAAGGAUGAGCGUCGCAUUUGUAUUUCACUAUAAUACAUGGAGUGGGUGCUGAGACAGCUUUAACUGCUCUCACUUGUUUUUUGUGCUUAAUAGUGUUGUGCUAUUGUGUGCGUUCUAACACCACGAUCAGUAACUUAGUUGGCUUGCCAUUGUAAAGAAGAUAGCUUGGUUCGCCAAGUGUUAUAGCUUUGCUUUGCAACGCCAACAAAAUACUGUUUUGCAAUGAUUGUCAAAGUUUCAUGUAUAGUUGUUGGUGGUAUGAAGUAGUGCAUUUGACUCAUUUAAGAGACAUUUGAACUAUCCGAGUGCUGCUUGUGACCCUCUACGUGAGACAUCCACAAUCUGUGGUGCAAUUGUAAGUAAUCUGUCCGACCCGUCUUGAAACACGGACCAAGGAGUUUAACAUGUGCGCGAGUCAUAGGGUUCUACGAAACCUAAAGGCGCAGUGAAAGUAAAGAUUUGCUUUUGCAGGUCAAGGUAGGAUCUUGGUUUUUAAUGUGUGUUAAACACAUAGACUGAGCGCACUACCGGCUCGUCCCAUGCUUUAUUAAGUGGGGCGACGCAAGAGCGCACAUGUUGAGACCCGAAAGAUGGUGAACUAUGCUUGAGUAGGUUGAAGCCAGAGGAAACUCUGGUGGAGGACCGUAGCAAUUCUGACGUGCAAAUCGAUUGUCAAACUUGAGUAUAGCGGCGAAAGACUAAUCGAACCAUCUAGUAGCUGGUUCCCUCGGAAGUUUCCCUCAGGAUAGCUGGCACUCGGGAAACAAACAGUUUUAUCCGGUAAAGCGAAUGAUUAGCAGUAUUGGGGAUGACAUAUCCUCAACUGAUUCUCAAACUUUAAAUGGGUGAGAUGCUCUACUCUCUUAAUUGGAGUUGGGCUCUACUGAAUGUGAGUGCCUAGUGGGCCAUUUUUGGUAAGCAGAACUGGCGCUGUGGGAUGAACCAAACGUCUGGUUAAGGAGCCAAACAUAACGCUCAUGAGAUACCACAAAAGGUGUUGGUUGAUAUUGACAGCAGGACGGUGGCCAUGGAAGUUGGAAUCCGCUAAGGAGUGUGUAACAACUCACCUGCCAAAUCAACUGGCCCUGAAAAUGGAUGGCGCUGGAGCGUUGGUCCUAUACCAGACCGUUAGCGUGAAUGGCAAUGUAUACGCUAACGAGUACGAGGGCGCUGUGGCGAGCAUUGAAGUCUAUGCCGUGAGGCUAGAUGAAGCCGCCACGGGUGCAGAUCUUGGUGGUAGUAGCAAAUAUUCAAGUGAGAACCUUGAAG
rnacentral:rRNA from 1 species